rnacentral:misc_RNA from 1 species
UUUCCGUUGGUGAACCAGCGGAGGGAUCAUUAUAGAGUUAUCUAACUCCCAAACCAUUGUGAACUUACCAUCUGUUGCCUCGGCAGAACCUACCCUGUAGCGUGCUGCCGACGGACCUCUAAACUCUUGUUAUACUAUUGUAAUCUGAGCGUCUUAUUUUAAUAAGUCAAAACUUUCAACAACGGAUCCCUUGGUUCUGGCAUCGAUGAAGAACGCAGC